rnacentral:misc_RNA from 1 species
GCACGGACUGGGAGCGAUCAUCGUUGCCGUCCUCGGCAUCAUUACGUCGCUCGCCCUCAUCCUCGUGGUCGGCGGAUACUACAUCGUCACACCAUAAGUUCCGGCAUGUUGCGGGUUCGCUGCGAACCCGGCGGCGCCCGNUCAGCGAGAUCGACAGUGGCCGCCUCGACCGACAUCCUGUUCAGUGAAGCGAUCUCGUUCCUUCAGGCCGGGCGGACGCGCGAAGCCGAGAAGACCCUGCGCAAGCUGGUGCGCA